CCAAUGUCAUCGCCGGCGCCGUUGAUGUCACCGAUGUCAUCGCUGACGUCACCCGCGUGGUCGCUGAUGGCAUGGCUGAUGUCACCAGGGUCAUCGCCGACACAACCGGCGUCACCAACGUCAUCGCUGACAUCGCCGGUGUCGUCACCAACGCAACCAGUGUCACCGGUGUCAUCGGCGAUGGCGCCAACGGCACCAGAGUCGUCACUGACGUCAUCACAGAUGGCACCAACGUCAUCCCCAACGCAACCGGUGUCACCGAUGUGAUGGAUGGCACCAGCAUGGUGACUGAUGGCACCACUGCCGUCAGCGACGCAGCCGGUGUCACCGGUGUUGUGAGCGAUGGCACCGACAGCACCGCUGUGAUGACCGAUGCCACCAAUGUCAUCACUGACGUCACCAACGUCAUCACCAACGCAGCCAGUGCCACCGAUGUCAUCAGCAGUGACACCAGUGGUGCCAGUGUGCUGACCAGCGCCGCCAGCGUCGUCACCGAUGGCACCAACAUCAUCGCUGACGGCACCAGCGUCAUCAGUGACGUCACCAGUGUCACCAGUGCCAUCGCUGAUGGCACCAAUGUGAUAACCAACGUCGUCGCCGACGUCGCCAGUGUCCCCACCGUCGCCAGUGAUGUCACCAGCGUCACCACCGACGUCAUCACCAAUGGCACCAACGUAACAAACAUCAUCACUGACACAACCAGUGUCAGCACCGAUGGCACCGGUGUCCCUCAUGUCAUCACUGAUGGCACUCCUGUUGUCACCAGCAGUGUCACCCAUAGCACCCAUGACACCAGUGGCAUUGCCAAUGGCACCAGUGUCAACAGUGAUGCCACCAACGUCGUCACGGAUGGCACCGCUGUCACCAAUGCGAUCACUGAUGGCACCAACGGCACCAGUGUCACCGCCGAUGGCACCCAUGGCACCAGUGUCAUCUCUGAUGGCACCAGUGUCACCAAUGUCAUCACUGAUGGCACUGACAGCACCAGUGUCAUCACCAAUAGCACCAAUGGCACCACUGGUGCCACCACUGUCACCAGUGCCAUCUCUGAUGGCGUGCCCAUCAUCACCAGCAUGGCCUCCAGUGGCACCGACGUCACCAACGCCACCACCAGUGUCACCACCAGUGUCACCAACACCAUCACUGAUGUCACCAACGUCACCACCGACACCAGCGCCGUCCCCCCCGGUGCCCCCCACACCGUCGGCGCCUACGGCAGCGCCCUGGCCAUCAUGGAGCCCAUGGAGAUCUACCCCGAGGGCACGGCACCGGCGGGGACGNNNNNNNNNNNNNNNNNNNNGGGCCGGCCCCUGGGGGGGGGGUCUGAGUGGGGGGGGGGAGGGCAGCGUGGCCCCCCCCCCUCCCCCCCCUCCCCCCCCCAGGGUGGUCCCCACGGCGCCAUUUUGGGGCGUUCUGCCCCAAUUCUGGGGGGGGACGACACCCCACGUCACUGCCUUGGGGAUAUUCCUGGUGGGGCCAGUCCCACUUUGGGGGGAUUUCGCCCCGUUUUGGGGGACAGGAGACGGAUGGAGACCCCAUGUUACCACCGUGGGGAUGUUCCUCGUGGGGUCAGCCCCAUUCUGGGGGGAAUCUGGCCAUAUUUUGGUGGAUUUCACCCCGUUUUGGGGACAGGAGACGGAUGGAGGAGCCCAUGUCAUACCGUGGGGACGUUCCUGGUGGCCCCAGCCUCAUUUUGGGGGGAUUUUGCCCCAUUUUGGGGACAGGAGACAGAUGGAGGACCCCACGUUACCGCCAUGGGGAUGUUCCUGUUGCCCUAAUCCCAUUCUGGGGGGAUUUCACCCGAUUUUGGGGUCGUAAAGACGGGGACAUCGCAUCAACCCAUUGAAGACGUUCUGGUGGCCCCGACCCCAUUCUGGGGGGAUUUUGCCCCAUUUUGGGGNNNNN
ensembl:lncRNA